UACAGAGGUCUCAAGCGUUGUUCGGAUUCAUUGGGCGUAAAGGGUGCGUAGGUGGCGCGGUAAGUCGGGUGUGAAAUUUCGGAGCUUAACUCCGAAACUGCAUUCGAUACUGCCGUGCUUGAGGACUGGAGAGGAGACUGGAAUUUACGGUGUAGCAGUGAAAUGCGUAGAGAUCGUAAGGAAGACCAGUGGCGAAGGCGGGUCUCUGGACAGUUCUUGACACUGAGGCACGAAGGCCAGGGGAGCAAACGGG
rnacentral:rRNA from 1 species